UGUAGCAGCGGCGCGAGCCGCGUCGGCGGCCAAUGCGGUGUGUCUAGGUGACCGCAUUGACCGGGACGCGGCUCGCGCCGCUGCUACA
rnacentral:misc_RNA from 1 species